rnacentral:rRNA from 1 species
UGCCCAUUUGAGGGGGAUACCAGUUGGAAACGACUGUUAAUACCGCAUAAUAUCUGCGGAUUAAAGGUGGCCUUUGUGCUGCCGCAGAUGGAUGAGCCUGCGUUAGAUUAGCUUGUUGGUGGGGUAAGAGCCUACCAAGGCUGCGAUCUAUAGCUGAUUUGAGAGGAUGAUCAGCCACAUUGGGACUGAGACACGGCCCAAACUCCUACGGGAGGCAGCAGUGGGGAAUAUUGGACAAUGGGCGCAAGCCUGAUCCAGCAAUGCCAUGUGUGUGAAGAAGGCUCUAGGGUUGUAAAGCACUUUAGUUGGGGAGGAAAGCCUGUAGGUUAAUAGCUUGCAGGAAGGACGUUACCCAAAGAAUAAGGACCGGCUAACUCCGUGCCAGCAGCCGCGGUAAUACGGGGGGUCCGAGCGUUAAUCGGAAUUACUGGGCGUAAAGGGUCUGUAGGUGGUUUGUUAAGUCAGAUGUGAAAGCCCAGGGCUCAACCUUGGAACUGCAUUUGAUACUGGCAAACUAGAGUAUAGUAGAGGAAUGGGGAAUUUCUGGUGUAGCGGUGAAAUGCGUAGAGAUCAGAAGGAACACCAAUGGCGAAGGCAACAUUCUGGACUAAUACUGACACUGAGGGACGAAAGCGUGGGGAUCAAACAGGAUUAGAUACCCUGGUAGUCCACGCUGUAAACGAUGAGUACUAGCUGUUGGAUUCGGUGUAAAGGAUCUAGUGGCGUAGCUAACGCGUUAAGUACUCCGCCUGGGGACUACGGCCGCAAGGCUAAAACUCAAAGGAAUUGACGGGGACCCGCACAAGCGGUGGAGCAUGUGGUUUAAUUCGAUGCAACGCGAAGAACCUUACCUGGUCUUGACAUCCUGCGAACUUUCUAGAGAUAGAUUGGUGCCUUCGGGAACGCAGUGACAGGUGCUGCACGGCUGUCGUCAGCUCGUGUUGUGAAAUGUUGGGUUAAGUCCCGCAACGAGCGCAACCCCUAUUGAUAGUUACCAUCAUUAAGUUGGGUACUCUAUUGAGACUGCCGCUGACAAGGCGGAGGAAGGUGGGGACGACGUCAAGUCAUCAUGGCCCUUACGACCAGGGCUACACACGUGCUACAAUGGGUAUUACAGAGGGCAGCGAAGUAGCGAUAUGAAGCGAAACUCAAAAAGGUACUCUUAGUCCAUUU